rnacentral:lncRNA from 1 species
GGAAAGUGGUUCAUGAAGGUCGCCUUUUGUCCUGCAUAUGUGGAAAACAAUUCAAAUGGCGAUCAAGUCAAAAGUAUCAUUUAUCUGUUUGUAAACUUGUACAGAGAAACACAUAAUAAUAAAAAAAAAUUUCACUACAAAUGUUUUUUUCUUAUUUAAUAUGCUAGUUAUCUAAUUUAGUUUCGCCUGACGAAUGACACAAAAAUCAAUGACAUAAUGAUGGUUACAGCUUGACCUCAUUUUCCUGUUGUGUUGGAUUUCAUGAUUACUAUAAAAAAAAAUCGAACCACUUCAUUCAAUACAAAACGUAAAAAUUAUAACAGAAGAGGGAUCUAAAAUUAAAUAUCCUCUGAUUCGUCAUUGAAUUCAAGUCCUUUGCGAACAUGAGGAAGUAUUUUUGAUUCAUCUAACCGAUGGAAUUGGCGAAUAGGUCGUAUUCCUCUGGCUGGCAUCGAUGGAUC